AAUGAACGCUGGCGGCAGGCCUAACACAUGCAAGUCGAGCGAGCAUUUCGGUGCUAGCGGCGGACGGGUGAGUAACGCGUGGGAACGUGCCCUUUUCUGCGGAAUAGUCCUGGGAAACUGGGGGUAAUACCGCAUACGCCCUUUUGGGGAAAGAUUUAUCGGAGAAGGAUCGGCCCGCGUUGGAUUAGGUAGUUGGUGGGGUAAUGGCCCACCAAGCCGACGAUCCAUAGCUGGGUUGAGAGGAUGAUCAGCCACACUGGGACUGAGACACGGCCCAGACUCCUACGGGAGGCAGCAGUGGGGAAUCUUAGACAAUGGGGGCAACCCUGAUCUAGCCAUGCCGCGUGAGUGAUGAAGGCCUUAGGGUUGUAAAGCUCUUUCAGCUGGGAAGAUAAUGACGGUACCAGCAGAAGAAGCCCCGGCUAACUCCGUG
rnacentral:rRNA from 1 species